GCGGCAGUCAUGUCCCUGGGAGGAGAAGAAGCUCGGAGGUAGUCCAGAAAUAUCUCUGGUCUGUGUCCCACCAGACUUUCCCAGCCCGGCCUUUGUAAAUCUGGGCACCGAUCCUUCAAGUUCGCAGAACUGGUCCCCACAGCAGAAGGAGCAACCGGUGAUGGUAACGAGGGAGACGACAGCGUCGGGCUCGACAAAGGCACUGCCUCCGGAAUUCUCAGCGAUGCCGGGGCGUAGAUCGGUUCCUCUUUAACGGAACCUCUUCCUCCACCUCCUCAGAAUGGCUCUCCAUCUGUUCUGGGACUUCUCUCUUUUUUCCCUUUGAUGCAACGGCCGCCUUAGCGCCUUGUAGCCCCACAUUUCGUCCUGAUGACUUGAGAGAAAAUGAAAUGCUCAAACAAAAUGCUCAAACAUGUAUAUGCAUAAAGAAAUUAUAAUCGCGAAUGAAGAUCAAAAUAUUACCUGAGCUGGAUGGAGUCGAACUUGAAGCUCGUACUUACAGUAGUCCGGUCCGGUAUAAGUUCAAAUCUGAGAUUACAAACUUACAAGACCUCUGCUUUUUAGAUAACGAUCUUAUUUUCUCAGCUCUUCUCUGAGUACCUUUGGUUAACGUCCCCUUCUUGUAAUCUGCACAAAGAAAAAUACCGAGGUCUGCACUUCGUCAAACAUACGCCUUGCUAAAAGACUAAAACCCAAAAAGACACUUACAUAACGAAUGAUAAAGCCUGGGAACCACGUCCUCCCUAUUGACCUCGGCAAAAUGAAACUGUCACUCCCCCGAUACGUAAAACCAUUCUUCCUUCCAUUUCUUAAUUGAGGAAGGGGUGUCUAACACCAAAGAACCUCCCGUCCUAGGCCUAACGCUUUUGUCCACCAGCCCGAGUUCUUCCCAUCCUCCUUAAAAGUAAACAGAGAAUCGAAUUGCUGGACACUUAGCUCGGAAUUCCCCAUUUAGUCCCACAAAACAAGGGUGGCUAUUAAGAUUCGCCACCCGUUAGGGUAUAGCUGCGUGGGAGCUAUGCCCCAAGAUGAAAGAAAUUUACGGAUCACCUUAGGAAAAAGAAGCCUUAGGCCAGCCUGGAGGAUAGCCGAGUUCAGAGCAACACAUCCCUCAGGAAGAGUGUCAGCUCGGUCAGAUGGCUUUGGUAUUAUCAUAACUACCGAAUUAGGGAUGGCAUAUUUAGCUCGCCAGCUAGCCAACACAUCCCUUGUCACAACCGACCUAUAAGAACUCGCUCCCCACUCUCCGGAAUUACUCUCCUCAACAUCCUUAUCGGACCCCCUGCUCACUCGAAACCCUCACGUCCUAAGUCUAUUACAGGAUGUCCUAGGUCAAUUGGGUUAACUACAGAAAUAGAAAUGGGGGUAAAAACUUUCCUACAACUAGAGGACGAACUCAAGGAAACUGACUCUUUCUGCUAGUCGCCCCAGGAAUGAACUCUAGACUCGUCUGAACUCAUGUAUAAACUAAGAAAAGAAUCACAAACUGAAAUGAGGCAGCAGAUAAGGACAGAAGGAUACUUAGGAGACGAACUGAGAAAACGACCUCACUCGAAUAUGGGAAUACGAACUUAGGGAAAUCGCCCAAAUAUCUGAGAGAGUAAAAAUCGGCGAAAUAGGAAGAGGAAUGAUUGACCAAAACCUGAUUUAAAGAAUGGGAAGAUGAGAGGGCGCAAUUUGAGCCAUUCAUCCGGAAAUAAAGGGAAAAUAUCAACGGUCUAAAACUCUGGGAGACAAAACGACGUAGUUUUGGCCAAACUUGUUGAAAAAGCUAC
rnacentral:lncRNA from 1 species